UCGCCGGCCUCUGACACCGCGAAUGAGCCCCGGCUCCUUCUCCUCCAGGUGCUGCUGCCCCCUCCCCGCGCACCAUGGACUUUCCAAAGUCUCCCCAAGUGCAAGAAUAGAUGGGGCAGCGCUGAGGAGCUUCCGAAAGCUGCUCCUGCCCUCAGAGGACAUCAGGGCUCAGAUGUUCAGGUCUCGUCACUCAUCUCCAAACCACAGCAACCUCUGUGUGGGUUUUGUUCCAGGCCUGUGGGCAAUUGCAGGAAUCAACUUUUGGAAGAGCUGGGGAGAGGUUAUUGGAUGUACGCCCAGCAGCUUUUGGAAAAACAGAGCAGAAAAUAUGCAGAACUCAUGGAAGAAAGACAAGCAGAUGCUGCUUGAAAAUAUGGUUUUAUUCUUAUGUCAACAAAUUAGUGCACGGGCAGCCAAAAAGCCCACACAGAGGUAACACAACAAAUGCGGCCUUAAGAUAUUUCAGGGAAACACAGACUCUCCCUGUAGGAUCUGCACGAAGACCUGACUCAAGAACAAUUCCCACAGUUUGGGAUCAAGGCAGUGGGAAGGCAGGCAUGAAGCAAACCCAGGCCUGAGACUUCUGCAGCUGAGCUCUACAAAUCUUUUCUUGAAGAAAUCUUUUCACUCAGAAAUGAUUCCAAACCACCUUCCAUGGGGAUGAAAAAAAUACAGAUGGGAUUAAGGGAACAUGGAUUCUGCAACUUUGGCUUGAACAGCGUCCAUUUUAUUUCCUUAAACACUCACCCAACGCUGCAGCCAAAGGCGAGUUCCACCAGUUCUUCCUAAACAUUCUCUGGGAGAAGAACAGAGCCCCAGCUGGUAUCCAAUGGAGUGGGCAUUCAACAGCUUUAGGACUAUUUCCACCAAGCCCAGGGUCUAACUUCAUGUUCAUUUUAACACCUCUUUCUUUGUUUUUUUUCUACCUGCAAGCCCUGUGUCUUUUCUGAACACCUCCACCCAAAUUUUACAUCUCUUGGCUCUAAACUUGCAGAAACAUUAUGUGUGUUUUUGUGUACACUUUUCCUGUAGGACUUUAGCAUAAAUUCUAAGGAUUCUUACUAAAUUCUGUGGAACCCUCUUGUCCUACCCUUCCCCCACUUUUUUUCCCUUUUUUUCUUUCCCUUAACUCUUACCACAUGUUAUAGAUGCCAGACAUGAGUCAGACCAAGCUCCUGGAGCUGUGGGGCGGGGCAGAGGGGAAUGUUCCUUUAUCAGCUAAGAGAAGUCAGUUCCCAAACCCCAGUACAGAUACCCCCCUCAAAAAGUCCCACCUGAAGGCUCUGAAGACUGAGGACCAUUAAGGAAUUCAUUAAAUCCACAUGAAAAUGGUGGAGUUCUUUUUUUAUUGACCAUAAACUUUCUAGUGGGUGCCCAAGUCCUUAGGGUCAGUACCCGGGGUCUCCUGGGUUCAGUGGAGCCUGAGGCGAAGAUAAACCUUAGAUAACAAUUUCAUACUGAAACAAGGUGAAAUCCACAGCUCCCAGCUCUGGACUGGCUUAUCCACUCCUAUUUACUCUUUAUCUACUCUCUCAUCUAUUUCCAGAAUCCACUCCUAAAAGGACUUCCAGAAGAUUCCAGAAAUUUUCACCAGUUCUAUUUGAUUUUGUUGUUGGGUUAUCACUCUUUAAUUUCAACAAAUUUCUAUUCCAUUCCCAUCAAACCCACAGAGACAAACUGGCAGCUUAAAAGUCCACGGAGAAGUGAUGAUUUUGGGGCAUAUUAAAGGACCACGGAAAAGUGCAAGUGGUCAUUUUGGGGCACAUUAGAGGCCCAUGGGUAAGUGCAAGUGGUGAUUUUUGGAUUAUAAAGUGCCAUUCGGGGUAUGGCAUGAAAAUCACCAGGAAACUGAAUCAUCCAGCUGGAUUUCCUGUAGAGCCAGCUCAGACAUCUCUCCACAUCACAUUUCCAAGCUUUUCUUGAUCCAUGAGUAUUUACUAACUUGGUUGUGCUCCACACAGAAGACACAGAACAGGCUCAGGCCCAAAGGCUGGACCCUUCCAAGCCCUUCCAAACCCAGCAGAGCUGGAAAAUAAUGAUGCAGGAGCACAGGUGGUUCUGCCUGGAAUGAAUUUAAUGCUCCCAGCCCUGGACAGCCCUUGGCCCAGCAGCAUUUGUGAGCUCUGUGCCAACACAACCAGCAGCCCAGGGAAUCCCACCUGGAUACAAGAAUGACCCACAGACAGGGAUAUUAAAGGACAAACUGCCAAUUCCUUGAUUAAAGAGCAAGCUUUCAGCAACCAGCAGCAGCAGCUCUAUUACUGCUGAGUUUCUCCCUAAGGCUACAGCAUGGAACCACACAGGAGAUUUUUGCUGCUUCUGGGAUAUUGGUGUUAAAAAAAAAAAAAAAGAAAUACAUUGAUGAACUACUUUGUCAUUGUUAACAACACUGCUGACAAACUCACAGCAGGCCCACUGCGAGGAAGACAGCAGCAUGUCUACUGAAUGCCUCUUGUAGCUGAGACAUGUGCUCUGAAUUAGGCAAGGUGUGUAAAUUACGACAGCCAGAGCUCUUUGGAGAACGCCCAGGUCUGAGAGAUUCUGGUGCACUUUUGUUGUUGCUGCUGCAUUUCCCCGUGGUUCUCCUCUCAAAAGAAACCUUGCUCCUUGGAGAGAGCUUUAACAGGCUUCAAUUCCUCAAGUGUCAUUUGAAAGAAAUAAAAUCAAAAUGCUAAAAAGAAA